GUCAUGAUGGCCGAGCGGUCCAAGGCGCUGCGUUCAGGUCGCAGUCCGGUCUUCCGGGCGUGGGUUCGAAUCCCACUUCUGACA
rnacentral:tRNA from 1 species